GCUCCUGUGGUGUAGUCCGGCCAAUCAUCCGGCACUUUCGAUGCCGGGACCGGGGUUCGAAUCCCCGCGGGAGCA
rnacentral:tRNA from 1 species